rnacentral:rRNA from 1 species
UUCCCCUAGUAACUGCGAGUGAAGCGGGAAAAGCUCAAAUUUGAAAUCUGGCAGUCUUUGAUUGUCCGAGUUGUAAUCUAGAGAAGUGUUACCCGCGUUGGACCGUGUAUAAGUCUCCUGGAAUGGAGCGUCAUAGAGGGUGAGAAUCCCGUCUUUAACACGGACUCCCAAGGCUUUGUGGUGCGCUCUCAAAGAGUCGAGUUGUUUGGGAAUGCAGCUCAAAAUGGGUGGUAAAUGCCAUCUAAAGCUAAAUACAGGCGAGAGACCGAUAGCGAACAAGUACCGUGAGGGAAAGAUGAAAAGAACUUUGGAAAGAGAGUUAAACAGUACGUGAAAUUGCUGAAAGGGAAACGCUUGAAGUCAGUCGCGUUGGCUGGGAAUCAACCUUGCUUUUGCUUUGGUGUACUUUCUAGUCGACGGGUCAACAUCAAUUUUGACCGGUGGAUAAGGUCAGAGGGAAUGUGGCAUCUUCGGAUGUGUUAUAGCCCUUUGUCACAUACAUUGGUUGGGAUUGAGGAACUCAGCACGCCGMAAGGCCGGGUUUCGACCACGUACGUGCUUAGGAUGUUGGCAAAAUGGCUUUAAUCGACCCGUCUUGAAACACGGACCAAGGAGUCUAACAUGCCUGCGAGUGUUUGGGUGGAAAACCCGAGCGCGUAAUGAAAGUGAAAGUUGAGAUCCCUGUCGUGGGGAGCAUCGACGCCCGGACCAGACCUUUUGUGACGGAUCCGCGGUAGAGCAUGUAUGUUGGGACCCGAAAGAUGGUGAACUAUGCCUGAAUAGGGUGAAGCCAGAGGAAACUCUGGUGGAGGCUCGUAGCGAUUCUGACGUGCAAAUCGAUCGUCAAAUUUGGGUAUAGGGGCGAAAGACUAAUCGAACCAUCUAGUAGCUG